CGGGACUGGUGAGUAACGCGUGAGGAACCUGCCUUUCGGAGGGGGACAACAGUUGGAAACGACUGCUAAUACCGCAUGAUACAUUUAGGUCGCAUGGUCUGAAUGUCAAAGAUUUAUCGCCGAAAGAUGGCCUCGCGUCUGAUUAGCUAGUUGGUGGGGUAACGGCCCACCAAGGCGACGAUCAGUAGCCGGACUGAGAGGUUGGCCGGCCACAUUGGGACUGAGAUACGGCCCAGACUCCUACGGAAGGCAGCAG
rnacentral:rRNA from 1 species